UACGAAGGGGGCUAGCGUUGCUCGGAAUGACUGGGCGUAAAGGGCGCGUAGGCGGUUUGGACAGUCAGAUGUGAAAUUCCUGGGCUCAACCUGGGGGCUGCAUUUGAUACGUUCGGACUAGAGUGGGGAAGAGGGUCGUGGAAUUCCCAGUGUAGAGGUGAAAUUCGUAGAUAUUGGGAAGAACACCGAUGGCGAAGGCAGCCAUCUGGACCGACACUGACGCUGAGGCGCGAAAGCGUGGGGAGCAAACAGGG
rnacentral:rRNA from 1 species